rnacentral:misc_RNA from 1 species
GUUUUUCCUUCUUAAUCUUAUAAUAUUUUUAUUUCUUACAUUCUCAUUAUUGGUAAACAACCAAAUGAAAACCUUAACAAUAUAGUUUGUGUUUUCUGGCUGUUGAUGAUUACAUUGCUUUUGUAGGAUUUCUAAAUUAGCACUUGAUGCUCAUGGCGACUUUGUCCUUGUAGUAUGGUGCUAAUUGUAUAUAAAUGCUAAGGAUGGCUCUAUGAAUAUUUUCUUCUCCAAGGAACAGUAUAUAUUCGUGUGAUUUUUGAAAUGAUAAUAUCUUAUGGUUAAUGAAGUAACUGCUCUCCAAUAAGCAUGGUAGAAUUUUCAUGGCUCCGUGGCUAUAGCUUCACGUUUGUUUUUAUCUUUCAUGUUUGUGUUAGUUCGUUAUUUUUGCAUACAUCAUUUUACUUUGCUUAACCUUGGUGCCUUAUUAACAUUAUUAAUUUAUGUUAUACCUGCCGCAUUCACCAGUAGAUAGCCAAUUUCAUCCCAUUGCUCAUUUCAUCCUACUUCCAUGUGACAUAUUGGAGCUAAUUUGUUGGCCUUUGUCUUAGAUCCCAUGUUUCUAUUUUGUGUGCUUUUCUAAUUCUGUUUGUCAUUGCUAUUCUUAAGUAUUUACUCUGGAAAAUUAUCAGUAUUGCCUUAAUUGAACUUGUUCAUGUAGGUUCUAGGUGACUACCUCAACCCAAAUCAACUCAGUUAAGCCUUUAUCUACAAAAUUUAUUGGGUUCGGCUAUAUAGAUUCUCUUCCUCCACUCUAAACG